AUUGAACGCUGGCGGAAUGCUUUACACAUGCAAGUCGAACGGCAGCACGGGUGCUUGCACCUGGUGGCGAGUGGCGAACGGGUGAGUAAUGCGUCGGAACGUACCGAGUAAUGGGGGAUAACGCAGCGAAAGUUGUGCUAAUACCGCAUACGCCCUGAGGGGGAAAGUGGGGGAUCGUAGGACCUCACGUUAUUCGAGCGGCCGACGUCUGAUUAGCUAGUUGGUGGGGUAAAGGCCUACCAAGGCGACGAUCAGUAGCGGGUCUGAGAGGAUGAUCCGCCACACUGGGACUGAGACACGGCCCAGACUCCUACGGGAGGCAGCAGUGGGGAAUUUUGGACAAUGGGGGCAACCCUGAUCCAGCCAUUCCGCGUGAGUGAAGAAGGCCUUCGGGUUGUAAAGCUCCUCCAGCUGGAACGAAACGGUACGCUCUAACAUAGCGUGCUAAUGACGGUACCAGCAGAAGAAGCACCGGCUAACUACGUGCCAGCAGCCGCGGUAAUACGUAGGGUGCGAGCGUUAAUCGGAAUUACUGGGUGUAAAGCGUGCGCAGGCGGAUUGUUAAGCAAGACGUGAAAUCCCCGGGCUUAACCUGGGAAUGGCGUUUUGAACUGGCAGUCUAGAGUGCGUCAGAGGGGGGUGGAAUUCCACGUGUAGCAGUGAAAUGCGUAGAGAUGUGGAGGAACACCGAUGGCGAAGGCAGCCCCCUGGGAUGACACUGACGCUCAUGUACGAAAGCGUGGGUAGCAAACAGGAUUAGAUACCCUGGUAGUCCACGCCCUAAACGAUGUCUACU
rnacentral:rRNA from 1 species